rnacentral:rRNA from 1 species
UGGGGAAUAUUGGACAAUGGGCGCAAGCCUGAUCCAGCCAUGCCGCGUGAAUGAUGAAGGCCUUAGGGUUGUAAAGUUCUUUCACCGGAGAAGAUAAUGACGGUAUCCGGAGAAGAAGCCCCGGCUAACUUCGUGCCAGCAGCCGCGGUAAUACGAAGGGGGCUAGCGUUGUUCGGAAUUACUGGGCGUAAAGCGCACGUAGGCGGAUCGAUCAGUCAGGGGUGAAAUCCCAGAGCUCAACUCUGGAACUGCCUUUGAUACUGUCGGUCUAGAGUAUGGAAGAGGUGAGUGGAAUUCCGAGUGUAGAGGUGAAAUUCGUAGAUAUUCGGAGGAACACCAGUGGCGAAGGCGGCUCACUGGUCCAUUACUGACGCUGAGGUGCGAAAGCGUGGGGAGCAAACA